UACGAAGGGGGCUAGCGUUGCUCGGAAUUACUGGGCGUAAAGGGCGCGUAGGCGGACAGUUUAGUCAGAGGUGAAAGCCCAGGGCUCAACCCUGGAAUUGCCUUUGAUACUGGCUGUCUUGAGUACGGGAGAGGUGUGUGGAACUCCGAGUGUAGAGGUGAAAUUCGUAGAUAUUCGGAAGAACACCAGUGGCGAAGGCGACACACUGGCCCGUUACUGACGCUGAGGCGCGAAAGCGUGGGGGAGCAAACAGG
rnacentral:rRNA from 1 species